ACAGUGAGAUAUUGCAUUUAAGAGUCUGAAGGCCAUGUGGGAAAGAAGAGAAGUGGCAAUUAUGUUUACAUGUGGAGAAAAAUACUCCAAGGUCUUCACACUUUUUCCAGGAGACCAAGAAAUGGCAAUUCAAAGGCAAAUGAGUUGUCACAAAGAAUUUCAGAGACUAAGCAGACACAAAGAAUACAGAAGAGGGAGGAAGAAUGUGGGGAGAGGCAGGGGGAGAGAAUCUCAAGUGGGUCUACACACAGUGAGCAGAGCCUAACACAAGACUCAAUCCCACUACUCUGAGAUCAUGACCUGAGCUGAAAUUAAGAGUCAGACACUUAAUGACUGAGC